GACGAACGCUGGCGGCGUGCUUAACACAUGCAAGUCGAGCGGUAAGGCCCUUUCGGGGGUACACGAGCGGCGAACGGGUGAGUAACACGUGGGUGACCUGCCCUUAGCUCUGGGAUAAGCCUGGGAAACUGGGUCUAAUACCGGAUAUGACUCCAUGACGCAUGUUGUGGGGUGGAAAGCCUUGUGCGGCUAGGGAUGGGCCCGCGGCCUAUCAGCUUGUUGGUGGGGUGAUGGCCUACCAAGGCGACGACGGGUAGCCGGCCUGAGAGGGCGACCGGCCACACUGGGACUGAGACACGGCCCAGACUCCUACGGGAGGCAGCAGUGGGGAAUCUUGCGCAAUGGGCGAAAGCCUGACGCAGCGACGCCGCGUGGGGAUGACGGCCUGUGU
rnacentral:rRNA from 1 species